AGGAGAAGUCGUAACAAGGUUUCCGUAGGUGAACCUGCGGAAGGAUCAUUGUCGUGACCCUGACCAAAACAGACCGCGCACGCGUAAUCCAGCCUGCUGAGCGGCGGCACUGUCCGUCACUCGGCCAAGUCCUCGAUAACCUUCGCUCCUAGGAGCGGGGGCUCGGGGUAAAAGAACCCACGGCGCCGAAGGCGUCAAGGAACACUGUGCCUAGCUGGGGGACGUGGCUGGCUUGCUAGCCGCCCCCUAGCUGCAAAGCUAUUUAAUCCACACGACUCUCGGCAACGGAUAUCUCGGCUCUCGCAUCGAUGAAGAACGUAGCGAAAUGCGAUACCUGGUGUGAAUUGCAGAAUCCCGCGAACCAUCGAGUCUUUGAACGCAAGUUGCGCCCGAGACCAUUCGGUCGAGGGCACGCCUGCCUGGGCGUCACGCUAAACACGCUCCAACCCCCAUCAUUGGGAGUAGGAUGCGGCAUGUGGCCUCCCGUCACGCAAGGGGCGGUGGGCCGAAGAUAUGGCUGCCGGCGUAUCGUGUCGGACACAGCGCGUGGUGGGCGACCUCGCUUUACUUACCGCAGUGCCUCCGAGGCGUAGCUGACGUAAUGGCCUCUAAAGACCCUUUGAACGGUGCGCAUGACGCUCCGACCGCGACCCCAGGUCAGGCGGGACUACCCGCU
rnacentral:rRNA from 1 species